rnacentral:rRNA from 1 species
CCUACGGGAGGCAGCAGUGGGGAAUAUUGGGCAAUGGAGGCAACUCUGACCCAGCAAUGCCGCGUGAGUGAUGAAGGUAAUUUUAUUGUAAAGCUCUUUUCUUUGGAACGCAUAAAUAACGGUACCAAAGGAAUAAGCCCCGGCUAACUACGUACCAUCAGCCUCGGUCAUACGUAGGGGGCCAGCGUUGUUCGGAAUGACUGCGCGUAAAGGGUGUGUAGGUGGUUUGAUAAGUUAGAUGUGUAAUACCCAGGGCUUAACUCGGGUGCUGCAUCUAAAACUGUUAGACUUGAGUACUGGAGAGGAUAGUGGAAUGCGUAGUGUAGCGGUGGAAUGCGUAGAUAUCAGGAGGAACACCAGUGGCGAAGGCGACUAUCUGGACAGCAACUGACACUGAGGCACGAAAGCGUGGGGAGCAAACAGGAUUAGAUACCCGUGUAGUC